rnacentral:RNase_P_RNA from 1 species
AUGGCCCACGCAAGUGGGAUCAGGUAAGGGUGAAAGGGUGCGGUAAGAGCGCACCGCGCGGCUGGUAACAGUCCGUGGCACGGUAAACUCCACCCGGAGCAAGGCCAAAUAGGGGUUCACAUGGUACGGCCCGUACUGAACCCGGGUAGGCUGCUUGAGCCAGUGAGCGAUUGCUGGCCUAGAUGAAUGACUGUCCACGACAGAACCCGGCUUAUCGGUCAGCUUCAACU